rnacentral:rRNA from 1 species
GACGAACGCUGGCGGCGUGCUUAACACAUGCAAGUCGAACGGAAAGGCCCUGCUUUUGUGGGGUGCUCGAGUGGCGAACGGGUGAGUAACACGUGAGUAACCUGCCCUUGACUUUGGGAUAACUUCAGGAAACUGGGGCUAAUACCGGAUAGGAGCUCCUGCUGCAUGGUGGGGGUUGGAAAGUUUCGGCGGUUGGGGAUGGACUCGCGGCUUAUCAGCUUGUUGGUGGGGGAGUGGCUUACCAAGGCUUUGACGGGUAGCCGGCCUGAGAGGGUGACCGGCGACAUGGGGACUGAGAGAGGGCCCAGACUCCUACGGGAGGCAGCAGUGGGGAAUAUUGCACAAUGGGCGGAAGCCUGAUGCAGCAACGCCGCGUGCGGGAUGACGGCCUGCGGGUUGUAAACCGCUGUCGCCUGUGACGAAGCGUGAGUGACGGUAAUGGGUAAAGAAGCACCGGCUAACUACGUG